rnacentral:rRNA from 1 species
AACGGACGCUAAUACCGCAUACGUCCUACGGCAGAAAGCAGGGGACCUUCGGGCCUUGCGCUAUCAGAUGAGCCUAGGUCGGAUUAGCUAGUUGGUGAGGUAAUGGCUCACCAAGGCUACGAUCCGUAACUGGUCUGAGAGGAUGAUCAGUCACACUGGAACUGAGACACGGUCCAGACUCCUACGGGAGGCAGCAGUGGGGAAUAUUGGACAAUGGGCGAAAGCCUGAUCCAGCCAUGCCGCGUGUGUGAAGAAGGUCUUCGGAUUGUAAAGCACUUUAAGUUGGGAGGAAGGGCAUUAACCUAAUACGUUAGUGCUUUGACGUUACCGACAGAAUAAGCACCGGCUAACUCUGUGCCAGCAGCCGCGGUAAUACAGAGGGUGCAAGCGUUAAUCGGAAUUACUGGGCGUAAAGCGCGCGUAGGUGGUUUGUUAAGUUGAAUGUGAAAUCCCCGGGCUCAACCUGGGAACUGCAUCCCAAACUGGCAAGCUAGAGUAUGGUAGAGGGUGGUGAAAUUUCCUGUGUAGCGGUGAAAUGCGUAGAUAUAGGAAGGAACACCAGUGGCGAA